AGAGGGGUCGUGUAUCUUGCAUUACUGAAAACCGGUAAUACUACAUAUUAUGUAAAAUAACAAUUUUACCCCUCUAACUCCCAAAACCCUUUCAAUAUGUCAUUUCAAAAAAUUUAAUUUAAAAUUUUGAAUUGUCAACUUUUAAAUUUUAAAUUUAAAAUUUAAAUUUUUAAACUUCAAAUUUAAAAUUUAAAUUUUAAAUUUGAAUUUAAAUUUUAGAUUUAAAAUUUAAAUUUUAAAUUUUAAAUUUGAAUUUAAAUUUUAUAUUUUAAAUUUCAAAUACUAAAUUUUAAAUUUCAAAUUUAAAUUUUAAAUUUUAAAUUUAGAAUUUGAAAUUUAAAAUCUAAAAUUUCAAAUUUCAAAUUUGNAAAAAUUUUAAAUUUGAAGUUUAAAAAUUUUGAUUUUAAAUUUCAAAUUCUAAAUUUAAAAUUUAAAUUUUAAAUUUGAAAUUUUAAAUUUUAAAUUUUAAAUAUUAAAUAUUAAAUUUUAAAUUCAAAUUUGUAUUUUAGUUUCUGAAUUUUAAAUUUAUAUUUUUAAUUUUUAAUUUUAUAUUUAUAUUUACAUUUAUAUUUUGGAUUUUAAAUUUAAAAAUUUCAUAUUUAUAUUUUAAAUUAAAAUAUUAAAUUUAUAUUUUUGUUCAAAUUUAAAAUUUAAAAUUUAAAAUUUAAAUUUUAAAAAUUAAAUUAUUUAAAAUAAAAUUUAGUAAAAAAAUAUUAUUUGUAAAUAGUAAAAAAAAAAAAGUUUACUAAAUAUGAUUAAGGGCAAUUUUGGAAUAGACUAUACUUUAUUAUCUAGAUUACUGAAUUUUAUAGAUAAAACCAAAUAUAUUAAUGCUAUAACCACUGGAAUCCAGCGUUACAUUCCUGUAUUAAACCAAACGCGCUAAUGCAGCAUAAGUAGUAAUCUCUUUUAGAAAUCCAAGAUAUCUAGAUAUAUCGAAAUACUCUGUAAUAUUAUAUAACUUGAACCAAACGCGCCCUUAAGAGUAUCCAGACUUUUUUGCUACAGAGUUUUUGUCCAUUGGAUCUAUCAAGAUUCGUGCAGUGAAAACAACGAAACGGACAGAAAGCGGAGAAGCAUCCUGUCGUUAACUGUGAAGUGAAAAAGGAAAUGUUACUUUCCCUUUUUCACACUCUCUUUCCUCUUCUCUCUCUUCCUCCCUUUUUCUCUGUUAUUUUCUCCUCCCCACUCUCUUCAUCUCUAUCAAACCCUCAUCUCAAUCUCACUUCGAUCUCACUCGGGGAGCGACCGCACCGUAGCACCUAGCAACC
rnacentral:lncRNA from 1 species